GACGAGUGUUUGGUGUGAUAAAUGACCCAAAAAAGCCCCAAACUAAUGUGCAACAAGAAAACUCCCGGACUGAAAUGGCGGAUCUAGGGAAAAGUUGACCUCAUCUACCGGAAGGGAUGCCUGGUCAAUGGGAAGAGGGGAAUUGAAUCAGAACCAUCUCAACGGAGCAUCCCCAUUUUUGUACCUUGUAGCCGAUGGUUUUUGAGCGGCACCACUCCAACAGGAUCUGCUUGAUACCGCUGGCGCUGGAGACACCAAAGCUCUGGGAACGCUUCAGCUUGGGCUUGGAAUCCUUGGGCCUAUCCAAUCAAAAUGCAAAUACCCUGGCGUCAUAAAAAUCACAGACAACCAUCACCAGCUAGCUAUAUGUUGUCAAUGCUACAAACUUGAUGGGCUCGGAGUUCAUCCUCUCGAAGAGGGCGCGUUUGGCUUGAGCUCCGCCAACACGGGGAAGCGUGUUCGAUUUGCUCACAUCUUGCUUCGCCUCCACUGGAGGGGAAUUGGCUUUCCUGGAGAAAGAGAAAAACAACCACGUCGACUGGAGAUACAAACAGCAACAGAGGAAAUUGACAUCAGCCAACUUACUUUUCGAAACUUGGUGCGAAACCUGGUUUUAUAAUUGAUUUGGAGGGAAGUAACUUUUCUAAAGAGGGAAAAAAACGUUUUUACUGUUCAGAAGUAAUCAAAUCCAAAAGAGAGAUCCAGAUGAUGAGGAUGGGAUUGCCUGCCCGCUUUUUACCUGCCGGUUGAGGAAAGCUGACACUUCUCUUCAGAAUCGGACUUGGCGUCUUGAGAACUGGAGCUGCAAAGCAAAACGUGAGAGGAGGCCUUCUUUGAAGAUUGGAUGGGAGCUACCUCUCUUGAAGGGGUAGUCCCCAGGUUUCACAGGUUCCUGGGAUGCAAUGGCUGAAGUAAUGGGUGGCGACUCUACGCCGCUUUGAACCGAGGUGGAGAGACUCGAUUGGGACUUGACCUCGCUCACAUCUAAUCAUGGGAGCCGUUUCAGAAAGAAAGCCAACAACUCAUACAGCAUACGGUGUUUUGGUAUGGACCACUCACCGCGUCGAAAUGGAUACUCUCCUGCUUUUUGGGACAAAGAGGGAGUCUGAACACUUUUGGGUGCAGGAGAUGUGUCGGGGUUGCUUCUGCUCACAGCUGUGAGAGGAAGAUGGGAUGCAAGCUCCUUUGAGCCACCUGACAGAGGAAAUACAAAUGGCGUCAUUUCAUUUUGACUUUAGUUGUGAACAUUGAUCGUUCGAAACGAUUCGGAGCAGCAGGAGUGAAGAAAAUCAAACUCACUACUUCUACUUUUUGUGAUUGUGGUUUCUGUCGUGGUUUUAAGAACGACCGGAGCUUCAGAGCUGACUCGAGUCACUGCGCUGAUGGGAAGAUGAGGUUCGGUAGGGCUGUCAAAGUUUUCCUGGACUGGAUGCAUCCAAAAAUGGAUUAAAUCAACAAAUAUCUUCAAAGUGGUGGUUGUGGGAACUCACCUGACAUGGCACUGGUUCUGGAAGUGACAGACACGUGGGACUGGGCUACACAUUCUAAAAAUGAUAAGCAAAGUUAAGGAUGCUAAUGUAACUAUGGAUUAAAAAAUAAAAGAGGUGGGGGGGGGUGCUCA